rnacentral:ncRNA from 1 species
CUAUGACGAGAAAUAUUUGUCAUGGCGGAAGGAG